rnacentral:rRNA from 1 species
UACGGGGGGAGCAAGCGUUGUUCGGAUUUACUGGGCGUAAAGGGCGCGGUAGGCGGUCGUGACAAGUCACUUGUGAAAUCUCCGGGCUUAACUCGGAACGGUCAAGUGAUACUGUCGUGCUAGAGUACAGAAGGGGCAACUGGAAUUCUCGGUGUAGCGGUGAAAUGCGUAGAUAUCGAGAGGAACACCUGCGGCGAAGGCGGGUUGCUGGGCUGAUACUGACGCUGAGGCGCGAAAGCUAGGGGAGCGAACGGG